GUGCCUAGUGUUAGAGCAGGUAGCCUAGUGGUUAGAGCAGGUAGCCUAGUGGUUAGAGCAGGUAGCCUAGUGGUUAGAGCAGGUAGCCUAGUGGUUAGAGCAGGUAGGCUAGUGGUUAGAGCAGGUAGCCUAGUGGUUAGAGCAGGUAGCCUAGUGGUUAGAGCAGGUAGCCUAGUGGUUAGAGCAGGUAGCCUAGUGGUUAGAGCAGGUAGCCUAGUGGUUAGAGCAGGUAGCCUAGUGGUUAGAGCAGGUAGCCUAGUGCCUAGUGGUUAGAGCAGGUAGGCUAGUGGUUAGAGCAGGUAGCCUAGUGGUUAGAGCAGGUAGGCUAGUGGUUAGAGCAGGUAGCCUAGUGGUUA
ensembl:lncRNA